rnacentral:rRNA from 1 species
GCCAGACUCCUACGGGAGGCAGCAGUGGGGAAUAUUGGGCAAUGGAGGAAACUCUUACCCAGCAAUGCCGCGUGAAUGAAGAAGGUCUUCGGAUUGUAAAGUUCUUUAAUUGGGGACGAAAAAAAUGACGGUACCCAAGGAAUAAGCCCCGGCUAACUACGUGCCAGCAGCCGCGGUAAUACGUAGGGGGCAAGCGUUAUCCGGAUUUACUGGGUGUAAAGGGAGCGUAGACGGCGGUGCAAGCCAGAUGUGAAAGCCCAGGGCUCAACCCCGGGACUGCAUUUGGAACUGUGCUGCUAGAGUGUCGGAGAGGCAGGCGGAAUUCCUAGUGUAGCGGUGAAAUGCGUAGAUAUUAGGAGGAACACCAGUGGCGAAGGCGGCCUGCUGGACGAUGACUGACGUUGAGGCUCGAAAGCGUGGGGAGCAAACAGGAUUAGAUACCCUAGUAA